UACGUAGGGUGCAAGCGUUGUCCGGAAUUAUUGGGCGUAAAGAGCUCGUAGGCGGUCUGUCGCGUCGGCUGUGAAAUCCCGAGGCUCAACCUCGGGUCUGCAGUCGAUACGGGCAAACUAGAGUAUUGCAGGGGAGACUGGAGUUCCUGGUGUAGCGGUGAAAUGCGCAGAUAUCAGGAGGAACACCGGUGGCGAAGGCGGGUCUCUGGGCAAUAACUGACGCUGAGGAGCGAAAGCGUGGGGAGCGAACAGG
rnacentral:rRNA from 1 species